rnacentral:rRNA from 1 species
CAUUACUGAGUUUACGCUCUAUAACCCUUUGUGAACAUACCUAUAACUGUUGCUUCGGCGGGUAGGGUCUCCGUGACCCUCCCGGCCUCCCGCCCCCGGGCGGGUCGGCGCCCGCCGGAGGAUAACCAAACUCUGAUUUAACGACGUUUCUUCUGAGUGGUACAAGCAAAUAAUCAAAACUUUUAACAACGGAUCUCUUGGUUCUGGCAUCGAUGAAGAACGCAGCGAAAUGCGAUAAGUAAUGUGAAUUGCAGAAUUCAGUGAAUCAUCGAAUCUUUGAACGCACAUUGCGCCCGCCAGCAUUCUGGCGGGCAUGCCUGUUCGAGCGUCAUUUCAACCCUCAAGCUCUGCUUGGUGUUGGGGCCCUACAGCUGAUGUAGGCCCUCAAAGGUAGUGGCGGACCCUCCCGGAGCCUCCUUUGCGUAGUAACUUUACGUCUCGCACUGGGAUCCGGAGGGACUCUUGCCGUAAAACCCCCCAAUUUUCCAAAGGUUGACCUCGGAUCAGGUAGGAAUACCCGC